rnacentral:rRNA from 1 species
UAGCUUCAGCGAUGGAUCGGUCGAUUCGCGUAUCGAUGAAAAACGCAGCUAGCUGCGUUAUUUACCACGAAUUGCAGACGCUUAGAGUGGUGAAAUUUUGAACGCAUAGCGCCGUUGGGUUUUCCCUUCGGCACGUCUGGUUCAGGGUUGUUAACGAUAUACUACAGUGUGGCUAACGUUUUAACACUGUUUGUCUAAUGGCAUUUGUCUACAUCUGUUUUGACAAAUCCCGUUAUAGUUCAAGAAUUACAUAUGCAACAUAAUGUUCGUAUAGUAAUAUGAACAUUUCUGAAUGAUAUCAAUCUAUUAUCACUGUUUAAAUGUACUCAAUGAAUAUGAGAUUGAUUUAAACAGGGACAUGUUGGAGAUAGUAGUAUUCGUUAUCAUUUGUAUUGCAACCUGAGCUCAGGCGUGAUUACCCGCUGAACUUAAGCAUAUCAUUUAGCGGAGGAAAAG